rnacentral:rRNA from 1 species
UGCCAAUUUUCCAUAGCGGAGGAAAAGAAACCAACCGGGAUUGCCUUAGUAACGGCGAGUGAAGCGGCAAAAGCUCAAAUUUGAAAUCUGGUACCUUCGGUGCCCGAGUUGUAAUUUGGAGAGGGCAACUUUGGGGCCGUUCCUUGUCUAUGUUCCUUGGAACAGGACGUCAUAGAGGGUGAGAAUCCCGUGUGGCGAGGAGUGCGGUUCUUUGUAAAGUGCCUUCGAAGAGUCGAGUUGUUUGGGAAUGCAGCUCUAAGUGGGUGGUAAAUUCCAUCUAAAGCUAAAUAUUGGCGAGAGACCGAUAGCGAACAAGUACAGUGAUGGAAAGAUGAAAAGAACUUUGAAAAGAGAGUGAAAAAGUACGUGAAAUUGUUGAAAGGGAAGGGCAUUUGAUCAGACAUGGUGUUUUGUGCCCUCUGCUCCUUGUGGGUAGGGGAAUCUCGCAUUUCACUGGGCCAGCAUCAGUUUUGGUGGCAGGAUAAAUCCAUAGGAAUGUAGCUUGCCUCGGUAAGUAUUAUAGCCUGUGGGAAUACUGCCAGCUGGGACUGAGGACUGCGACGUAAGUCAAGGAUGCUGGCAUAAUGGUUAUAUGCCGCCCGUCUUG